rnacentral:rRNA from 1 species
AUUGAACGCUGGCGGCAGGCCUAACACAUGCAAGUCGAACGGUAACAGGAAGAAGCUUGCUUCUUUGCUGACGAGUGGCGGACGGGUGAGUAAUGUCUGGGAAACUGCCUGAUGGAGGGGGAUAACUACUGGAAACGGUAGCUAAUACCGCAUAACGUCGCAAGACCAAAGAGGGGGACCUUCGGGCCUCUUGCCAUCGGAUGUGCCCAGAUGGGAUUAGCUAGUUGGUGGGGUAACGGCUCACCAAGGCGACGAUCCCUAGCUGGUCUGAGAGGAUGACCAGCCACACUGGAACUGAGACACGGUCCAGACUCCUACGGGAGGCAGCAGUGGGGAAUAUUGCACAAUGGGCGCAAGCCUGAUGCAGCCAUGCCGCGUGUAUGAAGAAGGCCUUCGGGUUGUAAAGUACUUUCAGCGGGGAGGAAGGGAGUAAAGUUAAUACCUUUGCUCAUUGACGUUACCCGCAGAAGAAGCACCGGCUAACUCCGUGCCAGCCGCCGCCGUAAAAC